GCAGUCAGCCCAGUGUUGUUUCUGGAGAGGGAUUCCUUCAGAAAUGGAGAAGACAGAAAGCUGCGGAGGCAGAUAUAUGCAGCAGUCUAAAAUAUCAAGCUCAACAACUCACUCAAGAGCCAACCCUCACAAACCUUCCUAAAAACUAAAAGAGCUAUUACUGAGUCUCAGCGAAUCUUGCCAUGAUCAGCUCUUCUCAGAAGAGAAGGAAGACCAAGGAAAUGAUUUGCUCAGGAUGAGGAAUGAAGAUGGCCAUCUUGUGCUCAAACAAACAGAAGUCCUCUGAUGAUCUCAUCAGCCAAAUGAGGGGUUUUGACCAAGUGAUGCUCUUGAAAGGAGUGAAAGAAGAGGAUGUGCUAAAUUCUCUUCAGAGAAAAAGCUUCUCAAAAGGUCUUAAAACAGCUUGAAGAAUGGUCUGGGAUCUUAGGACUGAGAGAUCCUCUGGCUGAGAACAAGCUACACCACAUCAGUGGAUAUCAGCCACAAACUGUUUCCAGACACG